rnacentral:rRNA from 1 species
GAUGAACGCUGGCGGCGUGCCUAAUACAUGCAAGUCGAGCGAACGGACGAGAAGCUUGCUUCUCUGAUGUUAGCGGCGGACGGGUGAGUAACACGUGGAUAACCUACCUAUAAGACUGGGAUAACUUCGGGAAACCGGAGCUAAUACCGGAUAAUAUUUUGAACCGCAUGGUUCAAAAGUGAAAGACGGUCUUGCUGUCACCUAUAGAUGGAUCCGCGCUGCAUUAGCUAGUUGGUAAGGUAACGGCUUACCAAGGCAACGAUGCAUAGCCGACCUGAGAGGGUGAUCGGCCACACUGGAGCUGAGACACGGUCCAGACUCCUACGGGAGGCAGCAGUAGGGAAUCUUCCGCAAUGGGCGAAAGCCUGACGGAGCAACGCCGCGUGAGUGAUGAAGGUCUUCGGAUCGUAAAACUCUGUUAUUAGGGAAGAACAGAUGUGUAAGUAACUGUGCACAUCUUGACGGUACCUAAUCAGAAAGCCACGGCUAACUACGUG